CCCCUGGAAGUGGAAGUGGCCAUCCCUGCCUCCCUCCCUCCCUGGCCUGGGUGGUGGCUGCCUGACUGCCUGGGUGGCGCUGUCUCCUUCCUCCGUUGCGCUGUGCGCGUGUGGGAUUUGGGAGGUGGGAAAAUUGGGGCCGCCGCGACGCGGAUCUGAGCGGGGGAGAGCGAGCGGCCGCUGCCUGCGGGGGAAUGGAAUGCAAGUACAGUUUAGACAAG
rnacentral:lncRNA from 1 species